rnacentral:rRNA from 1 species
CCUACGGGAGGCAGCAGUGGGGAAUAUUGCGCAAUGGGGGAAACCCUGACGCAGCAACGCCGCGUGGGUGAAGAAGGCCUUCGGGUCGUAAAGCCCUUUCGGACGGGACGAACGCUCCGCGGUGACAACCCGCGGAGCCUGACGGUACCGUAAGAAGAAGCACCGGCUAACUCCGUGCCAGCAGCCGCGGUAAUACGGAGGGUGCAAGCGUUGUUCGGAAUUACUGGGCGUAAAGCGCGUGUAGGCGGCCUUGCAAGCCAGACGUGAAAGCCCUCGGCUUAACCGGGGAAGUGCGUCUGGAACUGCUCGGCUCGAGUACGGGAGAGGGAGGCGGAAUUCCCAGUGUAGAGGUGAAAUUCGUAGAUAUUGGGAGGAACACCGGUGGCGAAAGCGGCCUCCUGGACCGAUACUGACGCUGAGACGCGAAAGCGUGGGGAGCAAACAGGAUUAGAUACCCUGGUAGUCCACGCGGUAAACGAUGGGCACUAGGUGUGGGGGGUAUCCACUCCUCCCGUGCCGCAGCUAACGCAUUAAGUGCCCCGCCUGGGGAGUACGGCCGCAAGGUUAAAACUCAAAGGAAUUGACGG